GAACUUGCCUGUCCCAACUGACAGCCUUUUACAGAACUUGCCUGUCCCAACUGACAGCCUUUUACAGAACUUGCCUGUCCCAACUAAC